AUGAAAGGUGCGAUUUCACCAAGAGCAAUAUAUUGCUUAUUAUGCCAUGUUUUGGAAAUAAUACAAAAUAAAGAAGGCUCAUUUGCUUAUGUUGCCUUACAAAGCUGCUUUACAAAGCCCGAUGUCUCUGUAGUUAUACAAGCCAAUGUUGGCUUUUUUUUUUUUUUUUUUUUGGUUUGUUUUGGUUUGGAUUUUUGUUUGUUUGUUUUUGUUUUUGUUUUUGAGCAGGAGCGUCUCUUUCUCUCUCUCUCUCUUUUUUUCCCAGCACUGUUGCAAGGAGUAGGACAAACUCAGAUUUUUUUUUCUUCAUGGCUCCUGCUAUUUCUUGGAAAAAAGGACCAGGGUGCUUGUCUUCUUUUUCUUGCUUCUCGGUAUUCCAGGCACAAAGCACUGCGCAGAAGCUGCACCAAUCCUUGCCGUCCCUGGCAGCAGAAUGGUAGAAGGUGGGAGAGACCAGGAAUCCUUCCAGGCUGUGCUGACUUUAGAAAUGAGGAUUGCACACGUUUGUCUCCUGAACCAAAAGGAGAUAAGCAGCAGAAUUUAUCAGGCGUGAAAGGGACAGCCUCCUGGUGGCCUGCCAAAAACCCAGAAUAAAGGCGAAGUUGUGCUUCAAAGCUCAGUCGCUUGCUGAGUCUGGCUAAAGUCAAGUAUUAAGAUCCACCAUUUUCUGAGCCAUGCUAGAAAAGAAGAAAAAAGUCAGGACGGUUGCUGCUUUCCAAGUCUCCGUUGGCACCAUCACAAAAUCUCAGUCGUAAGGUCACAUGAUUCUCUGCCAAAUGUAGAGUGCAUUCCCAUCAACCAUUCUGCUGAUACUGCGAAGGCAGCUAUUGUCUCGUUUAGACCCAAAGUUCAGCCCACUCUUCAUUGAAUUAGCUGAAAAACGCAUCACCUUUGGGGGCUGGGAGUCAUGGAAACGUCUACCUGGCAAGCUGCCCACUUUUUCUGCCCAUCAACCAGAGAUGGAAUUGUGCUGCCUAAUGCAAUGAUGACUUGGAAUGUGAAGAGUCGUCCAAAGUGAAUCUGAUUCUUGCAACGCCUGUUUCAGUUUGCACAGAAAACUCUGGCUUCUUGUAGUUAAGGGUGUGUGUGUGCUGGGGGGGAAUCCUUCAGACUAAAUGUAGCAAAUAAAGGUCUGAACAUGCCUACUCCGUAACUUUAUUUCACAACACAAAUGGUUCUCAAAGGAAAAGACUGAAGUCUCUGCAAGUUUUCCCUUCCCCUGCCCCCUUUUCCUUUCUGAGUGAAUGCAACAAGCCCAGGACGUUUGUUUUAGUCCCUUGCAUUAAGAUUGAAAAGCUCUUGAGUUUUGUCUUGCUUUUUAUUACUUUCUGAUUUUUAUCUGGCACCAGUUUUGUACUACACGGCCACAAUAUCCUCCAGCAGCAGUGGGGAUGCAUUAUUGCUUCAAUCUCCGUCAAAGUGGUCCCCUGAGGGAUGCCAGUUGUCUCUUCAACCGCGCACACCCCUGCAACUGGGUCCUGGGGUAAUCCUCAGCAGUACCUAGCACAGCUGCUGUGCAAGUUUGCUAAG
rnacentral:lncRNA from 9 species